CUCCAAUCCAAACGAACAAUCAUUUUAUUUUUUCUAUAAUCAAAUUAAAACCAAUAUAAAAACAAAAUGUAUGUUGGUAGUAAUUUGUUCUCAAUUAUACAAUCAAAUUCACCAGCCUGUAUAAUUUCUAUAAUGUAUUUAAAUUUUAUUUCAGCCAAAGUUGGCAGAGGAAUUAGUUAAUAGACCUUGAAAUGUAAACAAAACUUUGGAAGUCAAACUGAUACCAGUCUUGCUACUUCACGAGACUGGAAAAAUAAAAUAAAAAAUAAUGAAUUAUUUUAUGCCAAAAUAGAUUAAAAUCACAUAAAUAGUUAACAAAUGAAGAAAUAUAUCAACAAUGAAGAGGGUAAUUUCCAAGAUAUGUUGAGGGUAUACACUAUACAACAUAUGUAUCGACUUUUUAUCUUCAUCAUAAAUAGAUUACCAAAAACUACUAAGUCUUCAUCCAAAUAUCCUGCUCAUCUUCAUCCCAGAUUAUAAAAAACAUUUAGGGAUAGAAAAAUCAAAGGAUUGAAAUAGGAAAGGGCUUAGAAAGGGAGAGCUCAGAGGAAAAAAUAUUACAUGUGAUUUGCUGAAAGCGAGCACGAGAUGAAGGAGAUACGGGAGCGAUGGUAAUGCUAGGGAUUGGAUGUUGUCCCUUAUCUCUCUGUUUGUUAACCAAACAGACCAUGACCAUGUAGUAUCUACGUUCCUGCAAGUAAGGUUAAAACCCUAAUUAGAAAAAGAUAAAAUUGAUGAUGGUGGUGUCACGAAGUAUUUCUAAGGAAUACCAUUAUAAAUUUUACCCUGUGACUUGCGUAUGAACUUGAUGUAAUCUUGAUGUUCCCCUUUGCUUUAAGUCUCGGUGAACUUGAAUAACAUUAGAAAAAUCCCAAAGCUAACGGAGAACAAUAUUCUCAAUGUUUUAACUUACUCUAAAUAUGAAAUACCGGCUAGUGGUAGUGCAGGGCUACGACAAUGGUAGCAGCAAUUUCAAGGUGAACGUCGGUUACCUGAGAUGUUGGCUGGAAAGGACGGUGAUGGCUGCAGUGUUGGGUUCGAUUAUGGCAUAAAUGUAGUCGCCGGUAAGAGAAGUAGGAGGCGGCAUAAUGGAUGUGACCGGUUAUCCGUGUACAGUGGUUUAGAUCUAGGGUUGUUGAGGGCGACGAUGGUUUUAAUAGUAGAGCUGGUACCGGUGGCGGUAACCGGUAGUAGUGAAGGCAGAGAUGUUAACCAGUAUAACUGAAAUCUGUAGCCAUGGUGUUGGCUCUACUCGUAAUGGGAGUUAGAGUUUUUCAGAGAGGAUAAGGGAGGAAGAGGGAUUUAGAGAGAGAAUGAGAGGGGCUUUGAAUUAAGGUUGUGAAUGGUGGGUACCUGAUAGUGGAUGUUGCUAGAGGUGGAGGUCAUUGUGAGUGAUUGGGGACUGGGAAUAGGGAGUAAAGG
rnacentral:lncRNA from 1 species